AGCGAACGCUGGCGGCAGGCUUAACACAUGCAAGUCGAGCGGGCACCUUCGGGUGUCAGCGGCAGACGGGUGAGUAACACGUGGGAACGUACCCUUCGGUUCGGAAUAACGCUGGGAAACUAGCGCUAAUACCGGAUACGCCCUUAUGGGGAAAGGUUUACUGCCGAAGGAUCGGCCCGCGUCUGAUUAGCUAGUUGGCGGGGUAACGGCCUACCAAGGCGACGAUCAGUAGCUGGUCUGAGAGGAUGAUCAGCCACACUGGGACUGAGACACGGCCCAGACUCCUACGGGAGGCAGCAGUGGGGAAUAUUGGACAAUGGGCGCAAGCCUGAUCCAGCCAUGCCGCGUGAGUGAUGAAGGCCUUAGGGUUGUAAAGCUCUUUUGUCCGGGACGAUAAUGACGGUACCGGAAGAAUAAGCCCCGACUAACUUCGUG
rnacentral:rRNA from 1 species